AGUCAGCUCGUGUCGUGAGAUGUUGGGUUAAGUCCCGUAACGAGCGCAACCCUUGUCCUUAGUUACCAGCACGUUAUGGUGGGCACUCUAAGGAGACUGCCGGUGACAAACCGGAGGAAGGUGGGGAUGACGUCAAGUCAUCAUGGCCCUUACGGCCUGGGCUACACACGUGCUACAAUGGUCGGUACAAAGGGUUGCCAAGCCGCGAGGUGGAGCUAAUCCCAUAAAACCGAUCGUAGUCCGGAUCGCAGUCUGCAACUCGACUGCGUGAAGUCGGAAUCGCUAGUAAUCGUGAAUCAGAAUGUCACGGUGAAUACGUUCCCGGGCCUU
rnacentral:rRNA from 1 species